rnacentral:rRNA from 1 species
UACAGAGGGUGCUAGCGUUGUUCGGAAUCAUUGGGCGUAAAGGGCGCGUAGGCGGCCUGUUAAGUCGAACGUGAAAUCCCCGGGCUCAACCCGGGAACUGCGUCCGAUACUGGCAGGCUUGAAUUCGGGAGAGGGAUGCGGAAUUCCAGGUGUAGCGGUGAAAUGCGUAGAUAUCUGGAGGAACACCGGUGGCGAAGGCGGCUCUCUGGACCGAUACUGACGCUGAGGCGCGAAAGCGUGGGGAGCAAACAGG